AUGCCCGCAGGAUCCGAUAACGACAUAUUGGAUGAUGACGAGGAAGCGAGCAUGUCUAGCGCUAAACCUAGCGAGAUUGAUCCAUUUGACACUGUCUACUCAAACAUUCCAGACAACACUCACAUCCUGAAAGUCGACGAAAAUUGCAAACACUGCAAGGCCAGAAAGUUUGAGUCUGAGACUGACGGCUUCUGCUGUCGCAAUGGCCAGAUCGAGCUUAAGCAACCGGAACCAAUCCCAGAGCUUAUGAGGCUAUGGUCCAGCAUGGAUGCAGAUUCUAGACAUUUUCGGGAGAACAUACGUUUCUUCAACGGGCAUUUCGCCUUCACAACCCUUGGGGUCAGCCUUGAUGAAAACUAC
rnacentral:rRNA from 1 species